rnacentral:rRNA from 1 species
AUACGGAGGGUGCAAGCGUUGUUCGGAAUCACUGGGCGUAAAGGGCGCGCAGGCGGUUUGAUUAGUCAGAUGUGAAAGCCCACGGCUUAACCGUGGAAGUGCAUUUGAAACUGUCAGACUUGAGUAUCAGAGGGGAAAGUGGAAUUCCCGGUGUAGAGGUGAAAUUCGUAGAUAUCGGGAGGAAUACCGGUGGCGAAGGCGACUUUCUGGCUGAAUACUGACGCUGAGGCGCGAAAGCGUGGGGAGCAAACAGGAGUAGAUACCCUAGUAGUCC